AUCGUGCGUACUAAAUAUUUAGUACGAAUUUGAUACGAAUAUGGUACCUGAUACGCGUAUCAAAUGCACGAUGUAAACUAAGCCAUUAGUCCGAAAACUAGAUGGGGAAAAUGUUGGUACCAACAAAAUUCUCUAGACAUUUCAAUUUCAAUUUUUACAGGUUAGUAACAUUGUUUAAGUAGUAAAUCCAGCGGUCGCAGAUUGCGGCCACGGUAGCAUACGGUUGUAUGGAGAGGGGAUUAAGACUAAGAGCAAAAACCAAUCAUAUUAAAGAAUAAGUGAGUGCUCAGUAUAUGAUUGGUUCUUGCCCUUAGUCUUCAUCCCCUCCCCAUGCGACCGUAUGCUACCGGGGCCGCAAUCUGCGACCGCUGAGUAAAUCUACGAGUGUUCGGAGUUUCGGAGACGUUUUGACAUAUGCGCGCGCCAAAAUAAUAAAUAUUAAGUUAAAUUGUAACAUGUAAUUGAAAUUAAUGUUAAAAAAUUACAACUGAAUAUUAAGUACAUAGAGAUGAACAAGAAAAAAAAUGUUUUAUAUAUUUAUAUGUAAGAGAAGAAAUUUUAAUAAAAUAUAUUAAUAUAUUAAACUAUACUAAAUUAUAUUUUUAUUAUAUUAAAUUAAUUAGUAAUAAUAAUUUUCAAUUUCUUUGAUGUGCCUUGACAGACAAGAUUUAUGAUUAAAAUCUGGUUUUCCAUAUUAAAAUCAUUGUCAGCCGAGAAACAAAAUCUGUGCAAAAUAAAAUAAAAACAUAAAGAAGGAAAAGGGAAAGAAAUAAAUGGAGAAUAAAAAUAUAUAUCAGAUAAGUAGCUAAUAUCUUUAUAAAAAAUUAUGUAUUCUAUGUGCUUUUUGUAGAUGAACCGAUUCUUUUCUUGAAUUAAUUUUUUGUUUCAGCUUCUUAGCCAAUCGUAGAAUGUUGACAGCUGGAUCACCAGAGAACAAUUUCUUGCCGAAUAAAGCUGUCAAAUUCUAAGCCUGCUACUUCUUCGAGUAUGUCAAAAUUGUGAGCAAAAAAGUUGAAAUUAUAUUGUAAUAUCAAUUAGAUUUAUCAACGGUGCAGUAACAGAUUGAUACAACAAACUGAGAGCAGCAAACAGAAAAUGUGCUACCUACAUUGGCUUUUACAAGAAUGGGUUUAGAAGUAGCGAUGGAUGCUUGUCCAACAAUCGAAGAUCAUUUCAUAAGUGAAUACACUAUUUGAUGUAAAAUAAACCAAAAUUAUCUUUUUAAAAACGGUAAAAAA